GAGAAAUCGACUAAACCCAUCUUGGACAAUAGAAAUAAGAAGAUUUGAUUGCAAAGUGGUUUAGUAAAGAGGUCUGCAAGCUGGUGUUUGGAGGAAGCAUGUGCAGUAGAAAUGAAACAUCUGCUAAUUGGUUCCUAACAAUGUGACAAUCAAUUUCCAAAUGCUUGGUAUGCUCAUGGAAUACUAGAUUUGCUGCUAUGUGUAAAGCAGCCUGAUUGUCACAUUUUAAAGGAAUAGGUAAGGAAAUUGGAAGCUGAAACUCUUGCAUGAUGUAAGUGAGCCAUUGAUGUUCACACAUAGUACUAGCCAUACUUCUAUAUUCUACUUCUGCUGAGGAAUGACUGACUGUGGACUGUUUCUUCGACUUCCAAGAGAUAAGUGAAGAUCCUAAGAAAAUGCAGUAGCCAGUUAUUGACUUUCUUGUGGUAGAGCAAGUAGCUCAGUCAGCAUCACAAUAAGUUGACAACUGCAAUGAAUUGGUUUUAGGGGAAAAUAGGCCUUCAGCUGGACACCCUUUGACGUAUUUCAAAACACGCAAUGCUGCAUCAAGAUGAGACUGACAAGGCACUUGCAUGUAUUGACUAAGCUGCUGGACUGAAUAAGUAAUGUCUGGUCUAGUAAGGCUUAAGUCAAGCAACCUACCCACAAGUCUUCUAUACAGUUCUGGAUUAGGUAAGGGCUCUCCCAUAUCAGGAACCAACCUGCAACCUUUAACCAUAGGUGUAGGAGUUGAUUUAGCAUCUUUUAAGCCAGAAUCUUUGACAAUAUCAAGUAUAUGCUUCGUCUGGUUCAAAGACAUUCCUAAUUGAGACCUUGCGAUCUCAAGACCAAGGACAAACUUGGCAUACCCCAUGUCUUUUAUAGUAAAUUGAUGGUGAAGAAAUUGUUUAACUUCAAUAAUCAACUUCUCUGAAACACCAGUAAACAAAACAUCAUCCACAUAUACUAACAAGGCCAAAAAUGUAGAUACUGUGCCUUUAAAAAACAAGCAAUGAUCAUGUGUAGACUGGACAAACCCAAAAUCUUUCAACUUGGCAGUAAAUUCCUUAUUCCAUUGCCCCUUGGCCUGUUUAAGACCAUAUGAGGACUUCUGUAACUUACAUACUUGAUCUGUUCUAGCUUUAGAAUCACCUUCAGGAGGUAGCACACAUAAUUCUUCAUCUAUAUAACCAUGUAGGAAGGCAUUUUUGAUAUCUAAUUGAUGCAAGGACCAGUUUUUAGCUGCUGCAAUAGCUAAAAACAUCCUCACUGUCACUAGUGUUAUCAAGGCGAAAGGUGACACUAAGGCG
rnacentral:misc_RNA from 1 species